rnacentral:rRNA from 1 species
GACGAACGCUGGCGGCGUGCUUAACACAUGCAAGUCGAGCGGUAAGGCCCCUUCGGGGGUACACGAGCGGCGAACGGGUGAGUAACACGUGAGCAAUCUGCCCAUCACAUCGGGAUAACUCCGGGAAACCGAAGCUAAUACCGAAUACGACCACCUCCGGCAUCGGAUGGUGGUGGAAAGUUCCGGCGGUGAGGGAUGAGCUCGCGGCCUAUCAGCUUGUUGGUGGGGUAACGGCCCACCAAGGCUUCGACGGGUAGCCGGCCUGAGAGGGUGACCGGCCACACUGGGACUGAGACACGGCCCAGACUCCUACGGGAGGCAGCAGUGGGGAAUAUUGGACAAUGGGCGAAAGCCUGAUCCAGCAACGCCGCGUGAGGGAUGACGGCCUUCGGGUUGUAAACCUCUUUCAGCAGGGACGAAGCGCAAGUGACGGUACCUGCAGAAGAAGCACCGGCCAACUACGUG